rnacentral:rRNA from 1 species
UACAGAGGGGGCAAGCGUUGUUCGGAAUUACUGGGCGUAAAGGGCGCGUAGGCGGCCUGUUAAGUCGAACGUGAAAUCCCCGGGCUCAACCCGGGAACUGCGUCCGAUACUGGCAGGCUUGAAUCCGGGAGAGGGAUGCGGAAUUCCAGGUGUAGCGGUGAAAUGCGUAGAUAUCUGGAGGAACACCGGUGGCGAAGGCGGCAUCCUGGACCGGUAUUGACGCUGAGGUGCGAAAGCGUGGGGAGCAAACAGG